UCGGGAUAGCUCAGCUGGUAGAGCAAAGAACUGAAAAUC
rnacentral:tRNA from 1 species